rnacentral:rRNA from 1 species
AUUGAACGCUGGCGGCAGGCCUAACACAUGCAAGUCGAGCGGUAACAGAAAGUAGCUUGCUACUUUGCUGACGAGCGGCGGACGGGUGAGUAAUGCUUGGGAACAUGCCUUGAGGUGGGGGACAACAGUUGGAAACGACUGCUAAUACCGCAUAAUGUCUACGGACCAAAGGGGGCUUCGGCUCUCGCCUUUAGAUUGGCCCAAGUGGGAUUAGCUAGUUGGUGAGGUAAUGGCUCACCAAGGCGACGAUCCCUAGCUGGUUUGAGAGGAUGAUCAGCCACACUGGGACUGAGACACGGCCCAGACUCCUACGGGAGGCAGCAGUGGGGAAUAUUGCACAAUGGGCGCAAGCCUGAUGCAGCCAUGCCGCGUGUGUGAAGAAGGCCUUCGGGUUGUAAAGCACUUUCAGUCAGGAGGAAAGGUUAACGGUUAAUACCCGUUAGCUGUGACGUUACUGACAGAAGAAGCACCGGCUAACUCCGUGCCAGCAGCCGCGGUAAUACGGAGGGUGCGAGCGUUAAUCGGAAUUACUGGGCGUAAAGCGUACGCAGGCGGUUUGUUAAGCGAGAUGUGAAAGCCCCGGGCUCAACCUGGGAACUGCAUUUCGAACUGGCAAACUAGAGUGUGAUAGAGGGUGGUAGAAUUUCAGGUGUAGCGGUGAAAUGCGUAGAGAUCUGAAGGAAUACCGAUGGCGAAGGCAGCCACCUGGGUCAACACUGACGCUCAUGUACGAAAGCGUGGGGAGCAAACGGGAUUAGAUACCCCGGUAGUCCACGCCGUAAACGAUGU